GAAGAACGUAUAGCAANAGCUAAUUACAUUAAUUGUGACAUCGACUAAGUCGAAUAAAGUUCUACACAGUAUUGUGAUAAUGACAUAAUCUGUUUAUAGUCUUGGCCAAGUUACGUGCCAGCAGUCGCGGUAAGACGUAGAAGGCUAGUGUUAUUCAUUUUUAAUGGGUUUAAAGGGUACCUAGGCGGUAGAUUAAUCUUUUGAGAACUGAUUUACUAGAGUGUUUUUUUAAGGGGGCAAUAAAGUACUGUUGGUGUAGGGAUGAAAUCCUGUAAUACCUUUUUUCGUGAGAAAGUAAUGGCACAAAUUUGGGCGAAAGCAUCCCCUUUAUAUAACCGCUCCAUGUAACGAACAGGAUUAGAUACCCUGGUAGUCAGAGCAGAUAAUUAUGAAUGCCGUAGAGUAGUUUUUUCUAUAAAUGAAAAUUUAAGCAUUCCACCUUACGAGUAAUUUGGCAACAUUGAAACUGAAAUCAUUAGACCGUUUCUGAAAUCAGUAGUGAAGUAUGUUAUUUAAUUUGAUAAUCCACAAAAAACCUUACCAUGAAUACUUACAAGUGCUGCACGGCUGUCUUCAGUUAAUGUCGUGAGAUUAUGGUUGGCUCCAGUUAAUUAACGUAAACCCUUACUUUAUUUUAAAAUAAAGUUGUUCUCCAUUAUAUAGGAUAAGAUAACAGGGACUAAGACAAGUCAUCAUGGCCUUUAUGUUGUAAGCCUUUACAAAAGGGUGUGAAAUCGUAAGAUUAAGCUAAUCCCCCAA
rnacentral:rRNA from 1 species